AUGAGCGAGUUGGCCGCCGCUCCGCCGGACGGGCCGGACGCCGCGCUGACCUCCGCACGGGUUGGCAGUAGUACUAGUAGAAUUGAGAUUGAAUGCACUUUCUUCCCCGUCUUCCACUCUUCUUCCUCCUCUCUUCCCCAUUGUUGGCCGCACACCAUUUACCCCCGCUCACUGCUCGCCCGCACCAUCUUCCUUGCAGACGCAAAUGCGCUGGCCUUCAUGAUUCCAGGACCUGGAAUCAUACCAGCCGAUGGCACGACCCUCUUUUGUUGGAUAUUAUGUACUGUUGUUACUUUGAAGCACUCCUCUGGUUUCAAGGAUAGAUACCUUCCUGGGAUCAAGUGCAUCCUAACUCACCUGCUACCAUAUAACUGGAAUUACCGAUGCAAGUCGAAGAAGGAUUGGCCGGUGCUGCCGGCUGGCGUCAAGUUCGAUCCCACGGAUCAGGAGCUGAUCGAGCACCUUGAGGCCAAAGUGAGUGCUGACAGCGCGAGAUUUCAGUCUCUCAUCGAUUUGUUCAUACCAACCAUCGACGGCGAGCACGGCAUAUGCUACACCCAACCUAAGAAACUUCCAGCGCAAUUCCAGGGCGUUCAAAAGGGGCACGUGGACGCGUCGCAAGAUACAGUCGGAGUGCGGCAUGCACGCGAUGUGGCACAAGACCGGCAAUACCUUGCCAGUGAUGGUCAACGGCCGGCAAGACGGGCAGCAAAAAAGGUUCUGGUGCUGCACACCAACAAGAACUUCGACCAGCAGAGGACCAACUGGGUGAUGCACCAGUACCACCUCGGGGACCUGGAGCAAGAGAAGGAGCGGGAGCUGGUCCUCUACAAGAUUUUCUACCAGACGAACACUAGGGCCGGGAGUAAAAAGAUUAUAAGUUAG
rnacentral:rRNA from 1 species